rnacentral:rRNA from 1 species
CACGUAGGGGGCGAGCGUUGUCCGGAUUUAUUGGGCGUAAAGAGCUCGUAGGCGGUCUGUCGCGUCGGACGUGAAAUCCCUGGGCUCAACCCAGGAACUGCGUCCGAUACUGGAAGGCUUGAAUCCGGGAGAGGGAUGCGGAAUUCCAGGUGUAGCGGUGAAAUGCGUAGAUAUCAGGAGGAACACCGGUGGCGAAGGCGGCUUGCUGGGCCAGUUCUGACGCUGAGGAGCGAAAGCGUGGGGAGCGAACAGG